rnacentral:rRNA from 1 species
UACGGGGGGAGCAAGCGUUGUUCGGAUUUACUGGGCGUAAAGGGCGCGUAGGCGGUCAUGACAAGUCACUUGUGAAAUCUCCGGGCUUAACUCGGAACGGUCAAGUGAUACUGUCCGACUAGAGUGCAGAAGGGGCAACUGGAAUUCUCGGUGUAGCGGUGAAAUGCGUAGAUAUCGAGAGGAACACCUGCGGCGAAGGCGGGUUGCUGGGCUGACACUGACGCUGAGGCUCGAAAGCGUGGGGAGCAAACAGG